rnacentral:rRNA from 1 species
AGGUGUAGCGGUGAAAUGCGUAGAGAUCUGGAGGAAUACCGGUGGCGAAGGCGGCCCCCUGGACGAAGACUGACGCUCAGGUGCGAAAGCGUGGGGAGCAAACAGGAUUAGAUACCCUGGUAGUCCACGCUGUAAACGAUGUCGAUUUGGAGGUUGUGGCCUUGAGCCGUGGCUUCCGGAGCUAACGCGUUAAAUCGACCGCCUGGGGAGUACGGCCGCAAGGUUAAAACUCAAAUGAAUUGACGGGGGCCCGCACAAGCGGUGGAGCAUGUGGUUUAAUUCGAUGCAACGCGAAGAACCUUACCUACUCUUGACAUCCACGGAACUUGCCAGAGAUGGCUUGGUGCCUUCGGGAACCGUGAGACAGGUGCUGCAUGGCUGUCGUCAGCUCGUGUUGUGAAAUGUUGGGUUAAGUCCCGCAACGAGCGCAACCCUUAUCCUUUGUUGCCAGCGGUUAGGCCGGGAACUCAAAGGAGACUGCCAGUGAUAAACUGGAGGAAGGUGGGGAUGACGUCAAGUCAUCAUG